GCAGUAUUCUAACUGUGCUAAGGUAGCAUAAUCAUUAGUCUUUUAAUUGGAGACUGGUAUGAAUGGCUAAACGAGAAAUUGACUUUUUUUAUUAUAAAAAUUGAAUUUAAUUUUUUAGUGAAAAAGCUAAAAUUUUUCAGAAAGACGAGAAGACCCUAUAGAGUUUUAUAUUGUAAUAAAUUUUUUCUUAUUAGUUUUUUGUAGAAUAAAUUUUUUAAGAUAUUUUGUUGGGGCGACAUUAAGAUAAAAGAAACUCUUUAUUUUUUAAAUUUUUAUAAAAAGAUAGUUUGAUCCUUUAAAAGAGAUCAUAAGAAAAAAUUACCUUAGGGAUAACAGCGUAAUCUUUUUUGAGAGUUCUAAUCGACAAAAAGGUUUGCGACCUCGAUGUUGGACUAAAAUUUAGGCAGGGUGCAGCAGUUCUGCUUUAAGGUCUGUUCGACCUAUA
rnacentral:rRNA from 1 species